UGUAAGCGUAUACCAAAGUUGUUGCAGUUAAAACGCUCGUAGUCGGAAUUUGGCAGUUCCGGAUGUGUGCACGUCGUGUGCGCACUUCGCGGGGAUUGCUUUUGUGGUCUUGCUUAGGAUGAGGCACUUUUAUUAGUGAACGUCCUCACGCAACCACUUUUUACUGUGAGAAAAUCAGAGUGCUCAAAGCAGGCAUUUGCCGUGAAUGUAUUAGCAUGGAAUAAUAGAAUAGGACUUGGUUCUAUUUUGUUGGUUUGUUGGGACUGAGUAAUGAUUAAGAGGGACAGUUGGGGGCAUUUGUAUUUCGGUGCUAGAGGUGAAAUUCUUAGAUUACCGAAAGACAAACUGCUGCGAAAGCGUCUGCCAAGGAUGUUUUCAUUGA
rnacentral:rRNA from 1 species